GGUCGAUUGGUGUAGUUGGUUAUCACGUAUCCUUAACACGGAUAAGGUCGGCAGUUCGAUCCUGUCAUCGAUCA
rnacentral:tRNA from 1 species